UACGUAGGGGGCGAGCGUUGUCCGGAAUUAUUGGGCGUAAAGAGCGUGUAGGCGGUUCGGUAAGUCUGUCGUGAAAUCCUGGGGCUCAACCUCGGGCGUGCGAUGGAUACUGCCGGGCUAGAGGGUGGUAGAGGCGAGUGGAAUUCCUGGUGUAGCGGUGAAAUGCGCAGAUAUCGGGAGGAACACCAGUGGCGAAGGCGGCCACCUGGCCGACCCUGACGCUGAGCGCGAAAGGCGUGGGGAGCG
rnacentral:rRNA from 1 species